AUAGCAAAUCCAAACUAUAUGGCUAAACACUUAUUUUUUUUUUGUUAUAAAAGUUACCUCUUAUUCUAAGGAAGCAUUACCUCUAUUUCUCUUGUUUUCAAUUUUGACAUGUGAAAAUGAUGUUUAUAUAAUUAUGUUAUAAAAUUAUGUUAUUUCUUUUUUCUGUUAUAUUAUGUGCACAUGAGUGAAAGUCCCGAUGGAAGCCAGAGACAUCAGAUACCCCUGAAGCUGGAGUUACAGAUUACGUUGUGAGGAACACACAUCCUGCAACCUGUCCUGGAUUGCUGUGAACUUUUCAGCAACAUGAAUAUACCAAGUCCCUCUUCUCUCUCAUUGGGAAAGGAAGGACCAACUGAGUGAAAGACCAGGAUGCAUGCUGCUGCUGUGCUCUCUUUUGAUGACACUUGCUAAAAGAAAAUCAGGAAAACUGCAGAGUUCUCAAGUCCUCAACAUAACCAAUGAUUAAUAAAUUAAAAGAGUAGGUAAAAUAGCAAGCACCUGCUUUUUUAUUUAUAGUCAAGAAACUAUUCUAAUAUCAGAAUGGCAAAGUCUAGGCAGAGCUCUUCCAUAACACAGUGAUGAUAUUUAUUGAGCUCACUUGUCAAAAUUUGAGAAAAAUUUGCCAUAUAGCCCCAAAUCACCCCUCAAAAUUGGACUUGUCAGGAGGAUAGGAGAUAACAGGAGGGAGAGAGAGACAAGGCAGAGUAAGAAGAUUGUGAGAUCAGUAAGAUUGCAUUAUACAUCCAUAAAAUUGCUAAAGAACAAAUUUAAUCAAUAAUGUGUCCAGAAAUUUCCUUGAUCAAUUCAGUGUGUUGUCAGAAGGGGCAGCAGCCACAGUGACGUCAGCAGCUAGAUACUUGUUAGAAAAAUAGACUUCUUACUAGAAUCAUCUCACCCAGACCUCUUGAAUCAUGGACUGCAUUUUAACAACACCCCAUGUGAUUCACAAAGCAAAUAACAUUAUGGGAAGUUUGUCUACGUAAAACAACCUGUGUAUAGUAUAAGAGCUUUGCAACAAACUCACAGGGCUACUACUAGAAGGAGGCUAUCCUGCUCAUCACUACACCACCAAUACCACACCUCAAAGGUACUAAUGUAUUUGCUAUAGUGUGGUUAGUAGCCAGAGGCAUUAAAAUGAUACGGAAAGUUAAAGUUGUCUUUUGUUCACUUUUAUUUGUAGUGUGUGUGGCAUGUGA